rnacentral:rRNA from 1 species
GUCCACGCCGUAACGAUGUCAACUAGGUGUUGGGACGGUUAAUCGUCUCAUUGCCGCAGCUAACGCAUUAAGUUGACCGCCUGGGAGUACGGUCGCAAGAUUAAACUCAAGGAAUUGACGGGCCCGCACAAGCGGUGGAGUAUGUGGUUUAAUUCGACGCAACGCGCAGAACCUUACCUGGUCUUGACAUCCCGGGAAUCCUGUGGAAACAUGGGAGUGCCUCGUAAGAGGAGCCCGGUGACAGGUGCUGCAUGGCUGUCGU